rnacentral:rRNA from 1 species
GACGAACGCUGGCGGCGUGCUUAACACAUGCAAGUCGAACGGAAAGGCCCUGCUUUUGUGGGGUGCUCGAGUGGCGAAAGGGUGAGUAACACGUGAGUAACCUGCCCUUGACUUUGGGAUAACUUCAGGAAACUGGGGCUAAUACCGGAUAGGAGCUCCUGCUGCAUGGUGGGGGUUGGAAAGUUUCGGCGGUUGGGGAUGGACUCGCGGCUUAUCAGCUUGUUGGUGGGGUAGUGGCUUACCAAGGCUUUGACGGGUAGCCGGCCUGAGAGGGUGACCGGCCACAUUGGGACUGAGAUACGGCCCAGGCUCCUACGGGAGGCAGCAGUGGGGAAUAUUGCACAAUGGGCGGAAGCCUGAUGCAGCAACGCCGCGUGCGGGAUGACGGCCUUCGGGUUGUAAACCGCUUUCGCCUGUGACGAAGCGUGAGUGACGGUAAUGGGUAAAGAAGCACCGGCUAACUACGUG